GCGGAUAUGGCGUAAUUGGUAGCCGCGCCAGACUUAGGAUCUGGUGCCUCACGGCGUGGGGGUUCGAGUCCCUUUAUCCGCAC
rnacentral:tRNA from 1 species